CGAGCGGUCGUUGCAUCUGACGUCACUGCUCGGUCUGCACGGUGGCCAGUCGGUUGUGCGCUACCCUGUAGAUCCGCGCCGUGAAAAAAAUGUAUCAACCCGCA
rnacentral:pre_miRNA from 1 species